GCCCUUUAAUUGCCUGUCACAUAUCUCUAUAUUCACGCCGUCGGCUUGACCGACUAUGGCGAUAAACUGCCGAUGCAAUAAACCUAUCGGACCCGGGGGCGGUACCCGGCGCCUCCACCAAAAACCGCUCGACCAAAGCGGCUUUUGCUGGGGGCGAAACAGGAUCGACGAGGGUGUAAAGAUCGGACUUUCGCUCGGCAUUGUACCACCGUUAUCGGGCUAACCUAGUAGUUGCAAACGACAACUAUGCGGAAGCACGUCUCGCUGCGUAAGCAGUGCGACAGCUUCAAAUUAAGUCUUAAGCCUUCGCAGGCUUAAGCGGGGUCCGGAGGCACCUGGCAACAGAAGCCUCCACU
rnacentral:tmRNA from 1 species